rnacentral:rRNA from 1 species
GACGAACGCUGGCGGCGUGCCUAAUACAUGCAAGUCGAGCGGACCAAUAGAAGCUUGCUUCUAUUGGUUAGCGGCGGACGGGUGAGUAACACGUGGGCAACCUGCCUGUAAGACUGGGAUAACUUCGGGAAACCGGAGCUAAUACCGGAUAAUUCAUCCCCUCGCAUGAGGGGGUGCUGAAAGUCGGUUCACGCUGACACUUACAGAUGGGCCUGCGGCGCAUUAGCUAGUUGGUGAGGUAAUGGCUCACCAAGGCGACGAUGCGUAGCCGACGUGAGAGGGUGAUCGGCCACACUGGGACUGAGACACGGCCCAGACUCCUACGGGAGGCAGCAGUAGGGAAUCUUCCACAAUGGACGAAAGUAUGAUGGAGCAACGCCGCGUGAGCGAUGAAGGCCUUCGGGUCGUAAAGCUCUGUUGUUAGGGAAGAACAAGUACCGGAGUAACUGCCGGUACCUUGACGGUACCUAACCAGAAAGCCACGGCUAACUACGUGCCAGCCGCCGCCGUAA